AGAACGAACGCUGGCGGCAUGCCUAACACAUGCAAGUCGAACGAGACCUUCGGGUCUAGUGGCGCACGGGUGCGUAUCGCGUGGGAACCUGCCCUUAGGUUCGGAAUAACUCCUCGAAAGGGGUGCUAAUACCGGAUGAUGUCUUCGGACCAAAGAUUUAUCGCCUAUGGAUGGGCCCGCGUUGGAUUAGCUAGUUGGUGAGGUAAAGGCUCACCAAGGCGACGAUCCAUAGCUGGUCUUAGAGGAUGAUCAGUCACACUGGGACUGAGACACGGCCCAGACUCCUACGGGAGGCAGCAGUGGGGAAUAUUGGACAAGUGGGCGAAAGCCUGAUCCAGCAAUGCCGCGUGAGUGAUGAAGG
rnacentral:rRNA from 1 species